AGUUCAACUCGAAUUGAGUUUCGGAACGCACCUCUAUGGGAUGAUAAGGGAUCAUCACACAGCACACAGCUUUUACAAGUUCUAUGGUGAUCAUCGUGGUAUGUUUUCUAACCAACAUGGUAACACAGCUUCGUUACCGUUUAAUUAUUCAUCAUUUGAAGUGAACUUGUCGAUGUAAAUUAAUAUUUUUUGAUAACUGAACCAAUCUGUAUGUAUUGUCAAUAUUAAAAUUUUGUUAACAUGAAACUGGUUUGUCUGAGGUUAACAGAAAAUUAAUAUUUUUGACGUUCUGAAGCCGAACCUAACAAACCUAUCAUAACAGGCUGCCAAUUCAUUGACAAACAUUAUUUUCUUACUACCUCAUCCAAUGCUGUAAUUUUAGAUUAAUAUUUAGGUAAUUCAAGAUCGUAAAAACCAUGGAUGACACAAUAAACAUAAGCCCAACAAGUCUGAAAGCAAAACCCACAGAUUCAGAGUCUUGCAAAGUAGCAGAGGUGGGAAACACAAAAGCGGGUGAUCAAAAAGAUGCAAAAAAGCUUUCACCUCCAAGAAUAUCAGAAAUUAUGAGACCAAAAACGAACGACGACGUGCAGCGGGCUAUAGAAGGUUUAAAGGACAUACCUGAUGAGGAGUUGCAAGAAUUUUUGGACGACGAAGAUUUUAUGGAGGGAUUAGAUGUUGUCGAUGCAUGGGAAGGUGAGGAAGAAAGACGUCUGGAUAAAAAAAUCGAGAUUCACAGAAAGGAAAAGGAACGCAGACGUACACCUAGGGAUUGCAAUCGUAUUCGAGAACAUCGAAGUCCGAAUCAUCGAGAAAACAUGCGACGUGACGAAAGAAAGCGAGAGGAAUCCCGGCGAGAUCCAUCUAAAAGUACAAAAGAUAUUGAAAGAGAUAAAAUUCGUACUUUACGUGAUUCAGAAAUUAAAAUCUUAGCAGAGAAGAAAAAAGCCAUAAAAUCUCUACUUGAUUCGGAUAACGUUGUACCGCCAGGGACAGAAAUGGAAGCCAUUAAAACAAUCGUCGAAAAGCAAGAGAGUAAUAAGCCAGUCAUCACACGCAGCCGCCGGAGCAGAGAAAGAAGAAGAAGUGUCAACUGCCGUAAAGGGAGUCCCAGUAGACGCCGAAGCACCGACAGAGGUAGAAGAAGCCCUCAUCGCCAUUGGAGUCCCAUUGUUAUAAGCCCGGAACAUCACAGAAGAAAUCAGUUGAGUCCAUCGUCCCACAGAAGUCUUAUCAGAUUAAGUCCAUCAUCUCGUAGAAGCCCUCUUAGGCUGAGUCCGCCAAUUUUGAGUCCUGACAGACGUAGGAGCUUGCUUAGAUUAAGCCCUACUCAUCCACGAAGAUUAAGCUGCGAACGCAGAAUAAGUGCAGAGGCAAAAAGACGCAGAAGACGCAUGGAGGCUCACGAACGGCAUGUAGGCCGACGAAGUCGCUCUCGGGACAGGCGUAGGAGUCGUAGUGCAGACCGACAUCGAAGGCGAUCUACCCGCUCGCCAGGGAUUAGGAGAGGCAGCCCGAAAUGGCGAAGUCGAAGCGGAAGCCGACAAAGAUCUCCCCUACGACGCACAAGAAAAAGAUCGCCGUUCAUCAAUGAAAUAAGGAGACAAUUUCGAGAAGAAGGCAACCAUCAAACAGCACCGCUUUCAAAUCUCCAAUUCAUGCACUCGUCACCCAUUGGUGGAAUGCCACCAAUGGGACCCCCAAUUUAUACCCCUGAACAAGAGCAGGUGCCCUACAUGCAGCACCAUCAACCAGGACUACAAGCAAUGAUGGCGCAAGGUGCACCAUCAGGAUUCAUGAACUUCGAACCAGUUCAUCCACACAUGCCACCGUCCAUGACGUAUGAUCCAAUGAUUCCGCAACCUCUACUUCAAUCUGAAUUUACUUCUGGACCUGUGAUGUAUGGCCAACCAAAUCCAGGUCCUGUUCGACCACCGCUGCUACCUCUGCCUGUUCCUUCACCUCAGCCUGUGCCAGCCCCUGUCCAAGUUAUGGAACAGGGACCGUUGAUGUACAACCAGCCACAUCGGACAGUACCACCCCCACCUACUUUGACACAACAGCAAAUGGAGAUGGCCAAACAACGCUCGAUUACUCCUCAUUCACGUUCCACUCGAUCUAUCACACCCAGAGGUUACAAGAGAGAGCGGAGGUCGCCAUCUCCGUAUAAUGGAACAUCAACUUCUCAUGAAAGUCGUUUAAAAACUCCUGAGCCCCCAGUUAUAUCAAAUUCCAAAGCUACCUUUGGAAAGACUAGUUUAUCCAGCCUAUUGGAAGCAUCAGUCUCUGCUAAAGAUUCGAUCGGACCACCCAUACUUUAUCCAGGAUUCAAGCCAGAAAUACUUCAACAGUGCGAGAAUGCCCUUCGAGACCUGCCAGUUGAAGAUCCAAGACUGAAAAUGACGGGUAGAUUCUUUUUCGACCCUAAAAAAGAAGAUAAAUCAAAUGAACACGAGGAGCGAUCAUCAAACUCGAUUUUGUUGAGGAAAGGAAGGAAUAAAAUUUUCUGGGAUGAAGAAGAGGAACGUCAUUCCCAAAUGACUGUGAAGUCCAGUAUACAUAUGCACCAAAAAAUAUGUCAAACCGACGAUGUACAAACUGAACACAAACAUGUGCAAGCAACUGUGACUACUGUAGAUUUUGGAGUUCAAGUUGAUCCAUAUGACUUACAAAAGUCUACAAAGGAAGAUAAAAGACCGAUUAUGGAUAGACUAGAUUGGAACAUGCGAGAAACAUUUGACUAUGCACCAAAGCCACGAGAAGCUGAUGAUUUAAGAUGGAGUCUAAGUAAUUCUCAGAAGCGUACCUGGAGUAGAGGUGUAUCACCGUCUAGAGAAUCCGAAAGCAGAGGAUUGAGCAGAGAAAGUACGUCAUCUAAUGAUUAUUUAAGGACUCCAACUGUUUGUGCUCCGACGUGCCGUAGAGAUGAAUUUCCAUCACAUCGUAGACCCACAUUGCGAGAUCAUUAUACUCACGACAGUUUUCCAUCAAGUUACCGACAAGAAAUAGAAAAUAAUCAAGAUCAUUUUCUUGAUAAUAGAAGUGACCAUAGUCGGGGAGAGAGUCCUAUGGUGAUUGAUGAUUCGCCAGAAGACAUUGAAGAAGAACCAGAGGUGUUCUCUAGGUCGACAGAACGAAUCAUGCACACCAAAAUACAGAGAGGAAAGUCAAUUCCUCCUUUCAAAGGGCGUGGAGCGCCAAGAGGAUCAUCCCGGCCAUUUCGAGGUGGGAGAGGAAGUUGUCGUGGCAAAUUUUAAUUGAUUGAUGCUCCUCAGAGUCAAAAGUUUCCGUGUCUCCAAAGUUCCAAAGUCUUGCCAUGUUUAAAUAAGUCACAGGCUAGCAUUAGAGUUGUCCCAAAGUUGUGUAAGAUUGUCGAAUCAAUUAGGUUCACUGUCUUACUAAAUAUACAUAGACGCAAUUUGUUUCAUCGAACAAAGAAGUGCUGUCAAUGAUACCGCUCAUCAUUCUAUAAAAAAGAGGAGUACGAUACCGUACAUCUGAUUCUGUGCCACUACAACAAUGAAGAUUUCUAAAGGCCUUCCACUUCUGUUAUUGAUCUUCAACAAUUUUCACCUGGCAGACUGAACCAUCGACGCCAAACUCUAUCUGGAUGCCACGGAUGCAGAUCAAUUGAGUCACAAAUACUCUAUACGCCUUCGGAGUUGCAGUUUUCAUCGAAUGCUAAAUUAUAGAUACGCAGAUAAAAUACGCUAAAUUCAUAAUAAGUGAAUGCAAAUGAACCAGGCAUGAAAUAAGGUCGAGUUCGUGGAACGACCGUAUGGACUAAUACAGACAAAUAAUUAAUAAAACACGAAGAAAUUGCAUGGCUAAACUAAGAGAUAAAUCAAGAAGAAUGAACUCACAAAAUUCAUAAAAGCCUAGAUAUUCCUUUCACACUAAUUUAUAAAGUGAUUUUAUAAUUCACUGAUAAACUCAAGCUGCAAAAUCUGCAGAAAACUACCGUAAAUGUACUGAAAUAAUGAAACCGAUUCAAUUUACAGUUUAAAAUAAUAAACGACGAUUAAAUAAUAAGUGAGUGCUGAAAAACAGCAACAAUUCUCGCCCCCAGAGUUACAACUUGAAAUGCUAUUAGAGAUAUUGGUAGAAGUUAUUGAUUCAACUAGGAAUCCGCAUGAUACAUUCAAUAAACCGUAUAAUAGAAUGCAUCAAUUAUGUUACACAGUCGAUAGCAGCCUUUUCUUCGGAUAGAGUACAUAAGUAUAUGUACAAAAGUAUCUAACUAUAAUAUACGUUGUGCGAAAUAAAUGUAAGAGUAUUAAACUGUUGAUAAAUUUCAUUAGUUUUUCCGCCGUUCGUAAUCCUAUGAAAAUGAAAAAUAAAAAUUGUUGAGACAGAUUUUCUUGUGCAAAAUAUGUACGACCAAAAGAAAGAAGAAAUAAUAUGUUACACGGUUGGUUUUUCAUUUAUUGGUGAGCUUGGAAACCCUCCUUAUAAUUCCUUGAAUUUUACUGCAGGCUAAUAACGCCGCAACUGCAUCUAUUUGUUGAUAAACUCUGUAUGUGCAACUAAGUUCCUAGAAAUGUUAAUUAUCACAUGGUGAAAAGUUUAAUGUUCCAGCGUUUAAUAUUAGAAGACGUGUUUCAACGUUAUCGUCGAUUUACAUAUUAUUCGUUCCGUAGAACAUUCCACGGUCUGAACGGAUUUGCACUGAUACUGCAUUACAUGUGUACCAUGUCGUACCCAUGGUGCGAAUUUGUCCGACAGGAUAUUACCUUGACUAACAACGUAGUUUAAAUCAUAAUUGCAAGCUCUUAUUUCCAGAAAAAUUUAUCUGUACCUCAAAGUUCGUAAAGUAGACUUGAAAUAUAAUUGCUCAAUGACAAUGAUCUUUGCAAACAACAUCAGCAAAAACAGAUGAAACGGAAAUUCAUCUCUACGCUCAUACUAUCUGAUGAUUACAAAUCGAGGACCGUACAUUGAUUACGAAUAUAGAUGUAUUUUGUUUCUUAAAGCCAGGAAUUGGGUAACCUUGCGAAGUUCUCUGGUCUAACAAAGAUUAAGCACCAGGAACAAAUACAAGUUUUUGGGGUAUCAAACUCAUUGCGAUAGUUAUUUACAGACUAGUCCAGUCACUAAAGCAAAAAAGAGGGUCAUCCUGUGAAAAAUUAGGGGUGGAAAAUUUCCCUUUUUAUACUCAGAAAGGGGGAGGGUCGUUGGUAGUGUAAAUCUCGAUUUUCGGGAAAAUUUAGAAAAUUGCGUUCGCCACUAUCUUUAUUUGAAGGGUGUUUUUUUUGUUCUCCGAAUAACUCGCUUAUUUUCAACUUUAGAAUGAAAGUGAUGAUAACCAAAGUUGUGGGAAAUGUAAUUCCCCACAAGUUUGAUGAUAAUCAUUUUCACUCUAGGAUCAAUUUUUCAAGAGUUAGACUGCAGAUAGUCAAAAAAUGUUUUUUUUUUUAGAUAUCUCGCUUAUUAUCAAGUUUAUCGCAAAAAUGUUAACAAAAAAACAGGUAGGAAAUUUCAUUUCCUAAAACUUUGGUUACAGCCAUUUUUAUCCUACAAUCAAUUUUCAGACAUACCUAAUUAGGGGGAACAUUUUUUUCAGUAAACCGUAUAAAAAUCUGAAAAUAUCGAUUCUAGAGUAAAAGUGAUAACUACCAAACUUGUGGGGAAUCACAUUUCCCGCCGAGUUAAGAUCAACGAUCGACCUACGAUCUUUGUGGGGCUUCAUCAGUUUUGGGAUAGAAAAAGAAAAGUUCAGGGUGACAGGGUAAGACAUCAUGUUAUGCAGUACCAACAUACACGAGCAUUACGUUUGUGUACAGUUGUUUUUGCAAAUUAUCUCAAACACGUGUGCAGGCAUUUCUUAAGACUGGCUUGUAUAUUGAUCCAAACAGAGCGGAAAGAAAAAUGCCAUAAACCCUGUCAGAAUCGCUAUUUUGAACUUGAGCAAAUUUUAUUAAUCUUUUUUUUUUGCACCAAAAAAUGAACGAGUUGAACUGCAUACGAAGUUAAAGCUUGUGAUUUAUUGUGACAUCAGAGGUAUCCAUAGACAUGUGUCAUUAAGUGAUGUGCAAUUACUUUGUCAUGUAUUUAUUUUUGAGGAAACAAAAAGUAGUUUGACAGUUAUAUCCCCGAUCUUAUCCCCACACAGUACACAGGGGAUGAAGGAGCUGUCGCUUUCUGAUGAAAAUCAAAAAUCAAGUUUGAUCAUCAUAUUUUUUUAUGCAAACUAUGAAAUGAUAAUCAUCAAUAAUUUUUACAGACAUUGCAGAUAACUCCAGUCUCGACCAAAGCUAUCCACCGUAGAGAUCGGAGAGCAACUUUAAAGUGACUUUCUGGUGUGUUGUAUAUAUAUGUAUAUUAAAUUUUUUAUCACCAUAAUGUGCAAAUGUAUUUUAUUUGAUCACCCUGCGACACAAAGCGAAUACAUCGCCAUGAAGUGUACAUCAGGCAAUGCAUUCAGCAUUUGAAUAUAGGCAACCUCAGGUGCAAAGAACAUCGCCAAGUACAUUAACUUUUCCAAAUCGAUCAUUGUGCCAAAUUGAGGGGCAUUCCACGUCAAACGGGCUACUUUUUCGGCGAUAUAUAUUAAACAUAUCUAUGCUGAUACCUGAUCUGCUUUGCUGUUAUGAUUCGGUGGAGCUAGUGCCCUGUUAGUGGAAUAUUAAACUGCAUUGCUGGUGUGAUGCUCAUAUCUCAUCUAAAACCUGCCAGCAGUCUCAGAUUCAACUAUCUCUGGAAUUGAUCGAGUUAUCGCCAAUUUAUCGCUCUAAAAUGUGAAAAAUCAAGGAUAUCUCGAUGGAAUUUAUUCCCAACUUAGUUGAAUCGACGCCUAUCUCACACAUCAGUGAUUCUUCGACCAUUUUGAAAUUUACAAGGGUUGAAGUAGAGGAAAUGGACUAAUUUUCAAGAAUUCACAAAAAUUUUCCAACACGGAGAGUUUUCAGAAAAGUGAAAUUGAAAUUUUCAAGACCUGUUUACGUAUUUUUUUUAUAAGUUUGUGUCAAAGUAGGGAAAAGAUCCUAUCGAAUAUGUAAUCUUAGCAAUUUUUUUCUGCGGGUUCACUGGGGCAGAAAUACUGAAAACAGCGGAAACGUCGAAAUUAAUCAAAUUAAAUUAUCAAUUGAAUGAAUAUAAAAUUGGAAAAAAAAUUUAAAGAAAAACAAAUUACAUUAAAUUUGAAAAAAAAAGUUGAAAAAAAAAUUAGAUAAAAUUUACAAGAAAUAAAAUAAUAAAUUGGAGGUAGUGGGACUUGGUGGGGUUUUUAGAAAAAAAAUUUCAGAAUACUACAUAGCAAUAUAACAUCAGCCCGCCAAAGGCCAAGGAUGUUUGCUAAAUAUCUGUUGGCUGAUAUUCCAAAAGAUCUCCACAUACUCUGAUUCACGACACUUAUAUCAGAGGUCGCAGCGUGUACGCUCAGGCCAAUGUUUUCACAUUUAGAAAUAAAUUCUUGAAAUAUAUCUUUUAAUGUUUUUCCAGGGAUACUUUUAUUUGUAAGAUAGUAACCUACGACUUGUGUCCAUCGACUCCCUAUGCGACCUAUCAUAGAUACUAAUACCUGAUCUGCUCUACCGUUGUGAUUCGGUAAAGCUACUUGACCUAGUACCCUGUUGAUGGAAGAAUCAAAUGCAUUGCUUAGUGUGAUGCUCAUCUCAUCUAAAACCAGCCUGCAGUCUCUAUUCGAAUCUUUUUCAAAAAACAAAACCUUGAUGCACCAAAUUUCGAAAAUUUCCUCACAUAUUCCACUAUCAAAUUUUACCAAGAUAGCAGAAGUUAACGAUGAAAAGCCACUAAACUAUGAUAAAAUUGUCUAGGCAUUAUACAAAGAUUGAAUAAUAAGGUAUCCAUGAAAAGCCUCACAAGGCCUAGA
rnacentral:misc_RNA from 1 species